rfam:Schistosoma haematobium scaffold176_8, whole genome shotgun sequence.
AUCCAGCUGACGAGUCCCGAAGAGGAGGGAACGCGCGUCCUGGAU